UUAACAUAAUGUUUGAAAGAAGCGACAAGACACGUACUAAAAAGGAAGCACCAUGAGGGGAUGUAUUUUACUUGCUGUUUUUGUGGUACUUGCCGCUUUGAUUACAGUGGAAUCAGCUAAAUGCGGUUCAAGAGAUUACAACCCAAGAUUCUACACCUGUUGUAAAGGCAAACUAACUUUUGGAAGCGGACAGUCUUGUUGUGGAACAAAAGCAUACAACCAUAGAUUCUACACAUGUUGUGCGGGCAAACUCACUUAUGGAAGCGGACAGUCCUGUUGUGGAACAAAGGCUUACAACCACAGAUUCUACACAUGUUGUGCGGGCAAACUCACUUUUGGAAGCGGACAGUCCUGUUGUGGAACAAAGGCUUACAACCACAGAUUCUACACAUGUUGUGCGGGCAAACUCACUUUUGGAAGCGGUCAGUCCUGUUGUGGAACAAAGGCUUAUAACCACAGAUUCUAUUCUUGUUGUCGCGGAGUCGUUCGUUUUGGAAAAUGUUAAAUGGUCUGUGUCUUUUUGUAGAUAUUUUACAUAUCAAAAUACCAUAUUGACUGUAACUCACCAUUGUAUGUUCGAUCCAAAAUGCUAUAAACUUAGUCAAUGAUUUUCUAGCAUGGCAACCAUAAAUCGAAUUACCUUAACUGAUUCUACAUAUUUUUUUAUGAAUGUGAGACGUUCAUACAUAUUCCAUGAUUUCGCAGUGAAAUAAACGGGCUAAACAAUUAGGAGGGUUCAUAUAUGCGUAUUACUUCAAGGUAGAUUGGAUAUUUUGCUACAAUGUAUAAAAUAAAUUCUUGAUUGAAAACUGGUGUACACGCUUUUUAAAAACUUAUUCGAUUAAUAAAAGAGUCUAUGCGAAAUGAACUAUAAACAUAAUAAUUUUGUUAAUGUUCCGCGCACAGAAAAAACAUAUACAAGUCGGAUUGUAAAACCUAUUGUAUCUUUUUUCUAUUAUGCUGUCAUGUUCAUGUAUGUAUAUUUUAUAAAUAAAGAGAAUCUCAGACUUUUA